rnacentral:lncRNA from 1 species
GUGCUCUGAGGAGUUAAAGCUCUGACAGGUCACUGAGGGAGGGUGACUGAGGUCCCAAAACUUUCUCCAGGACCUGUUGGCACCCGUUGGAGGAGGGAUUAAGGGGCUGGCUUGCAGCAUGACAGUCAGGAGCCUUUGGGGGCAGGGUGGGGCUCCAGAUGGGAGGGUUAGGUGACCUGGAGGGCGCCAUGGAGGGCGCAGCUGGUUCCUUGCAGCCUCUAGCCCCCAGAGGACUGGUGGGACCAGCGGGGGUGAGGGCCUUGCAAGGUUGGUGAUGGUGAGCCAGCUGCCAGACGGCAGCAGGGCUGUGUCCCAGAGAAGGGUCAGUGGGCCAACUCCCAAGAUCCAGUAUUUAGUAAACACUUAAGCCCAGCCCCAAGCAGCCCUGGGGACAGAGCCCUCUCCCCUGUGGUGGAUGCAGGUGCAGAUUCUAUCGUAACCCAGGAUGACUGGGUGUGAGCUAUGAGGGAGGCUGCAAAAAGUGCAGGGCUUGGCAAAGGAUCUGUGUAUGGCAGGAGGAAGAUGAAGACUCUGGAAGACAGGGAGUGGAGAGGGCCAGCAGGGUCAGGGGCGUCAUCAUGCCCAAAGAGAGUAGAGGAGAUAGGAGAUACUGCAGUAGGCGAGUGGCCUUGGGGCUUGUAUUUGGGGUGUGAACACUAACAUCUGGAAGGGUGAACACUAACAUCUGGAGCUAGAGACAGCCUCUUGGGAGUCAUUUCUGUACAAGUGGUCAUUGAGAUGACAUGGAGUGGAUAAAACUGUGUGAAGAGUUGAGAAAAAGAGGAAUAAAACCCUAGGGAGCAUUUAAGAGUGGAGAGAGAAGGCUGUGGAGGAGGCAGAGAGAGAGUAGGGUCAGCAGGUCAGAAGAGAUCCCAGAGGCGCGGCUCAGAGGCAGGGAGGGAACAUUCCAGGAAUCAGGGAGUGGCCACCAGUGUGGACUGGAGCAGAGAAGGCGGGGAGGAGACCAGGGAAAUGGAAGGUCCCAGGUGACUUGCAAAAGCAGCCCUGGGGAUGCUGGGGACAGAGGUCCCGGGAAGAGUGUGGGAAGAAAGCAAGGUGGGCAGUGAGAGCCCAGCUGGAGAGGGAGGGCAGACUGGAGAUGGGGUCCUUGAGUGGGAAGCAGGAAUGAAGCUCUUUAAGGAUGGGGAGUGGGCACUUGGGUGAAUGCUAGUGUCCUCGGAGGCUUGCUUCUGUCCCUGUCACAUCUCACAGGACCAUCCCUUUCUCAUUCACAAACUCCCUCAGGCCUCACCCCAUCCCUUGAGGAUCAUGUAAAGAAAUUCCUACUCGCUGGAGACAAUGGCCCCAUUUUUUUUUUUUUUUUUUACAUGCAUCUCAGGGACAGUCUCUCUAAUCAGAUGUGUGGGCUGGGCUGGGGAUCUGAGCACCUGAGGACCCAGGAAAUGGUACAGUGAAUGCACUUCUUUCAGAUGGUCUCCAAAUCACUAGCAAGAGGCUGCCUCCUCCAGAAGGUCUGUUGCUGUUUUCUCCCAUCCUCUUGGCCAUUCUAUGACCCUUUGCCAUGUCCCAGAACCAAGGUCAGCAGCACAGUGCUUUACUGAUGAUUAGAACAAGGUACCUGGAUGCCCUUGCUGUGGCAUGAUCUAUCUAGGGGCUCUGAAGCCCUCCUGCACCUCCUGUAGGCUCACAACCUGGUGCAGGGAUACCGGAGGAGGAGGUAGCUGUGUGCAGGGGGCCCCUGUGUCCCAGAGACAGGCUGAGGCUCAAACAUCAGACAUAUUUUCCAGAUUGAUUACCAUGC